rnacentral:rRNA from 1 species
GACGAACGCUGGCGGCGUGCUUAACACAUGCAAGUCGAGCGGUAAGGCCUGCUUCGGUGGGUACACGAGCGGCGAACGGGUGAGUAACACGUGGGUGACCUGCCCUCAGCUCUGGGAUAAGCCUGGGAAACCGGGUCUAAUACCGGAUAUGACUCCAUGACGCAUGUUGUGGGGUGGAAAGCCUUGUGCGGCUGAGGAUGG